rnacentral:rRNA from 1 species
GAUGAACGCUGGCGGCGUGCCUAAUACAUGCAAGUCGAGCGAACAGAUGAGGAGCUUGCUCCUCUGACGUUAGCGGCGGACGGGUGAGUAACACGUGGAUAACCUACCUAUAAGACUGGGAUAACUUCGGGAAACCGGAGCUAAUACCGGAUAAUAUAUUGAACCGCAUGGUUCAAUAGUGAAAGACGGUUUUGCUGUCACUUAUAGAUGGAUCCGCGCCGCAUUAGCUAGUUGGUAAGGUAACGGCUUACCAAGGCAACGAUGCGUAGCCGACCUGAGAGGGUGAUCGGCCGCACUGGAACUGAGACACGGUCCAGACUCCUACGGGAGGCAGCAGUAGGGAAUCUUCCGCAAUGGGCGAAAGCCUGACGGAGCAACGCCGCGUGAGGGAUGAAGGUCUUCGGAUCGUAAAACUCUGUUAUUAGGGAAGAACAAAUGUGUAAGUAACUAUGCACGUCUUGACGGUACCUAAUCAGAAAGCCACGGCUAACUACGUG